GACGAACGCUGGCGGCGUGCCUAAUACAUGCAAGUCGAGCGAGCGGAACCAACAGAUUUACUUCGGUAAUGACGUUGGGAAAGCGAGCGGCGGAUGGGUGAGUAACACGUGGGGAACCUGCCCCUAAGUCUGGGAUACCAUUUGGAAACAGGUGCUAAUACCGGAUAAUAAAGCAGAUCGCAUGAUCAGCUUUUGAAAGGCGGCGUAAGCUGUCGCUAAAGGGAUGGCCCCCGCGGUGCAUUAGCUAGUUGGUAAGGUAACGGCUUACCAAGGCGACGAUGCAUAGCCGAGUUGAGAGACUGAUCGGCCACAUUGGGACUGAGACACGGCCCAAAACUCCUACGGGAGGCAGCAGUAGGGAAUCUUCCACAAUGGACGCAAGUCUGAUGGAGCAACGCCGCGUGAGUGAAGAAGGUUUUCGGAUCGUAAAGCUCUGUUGUUGGUGAAGAAGGAUAGAGGUAGUAACUGGCCUUUAUUUGACGGUAAU
rnacentral:rRNA from 1 species